CUGUAAGCCUGUGAAGGUGUACUGUGAGGUAUGCUGGAGGUAUCAGAAGUGCGAAUGCUGACAUAAGUAACGAUAAAGCGGGUGAAAAGCCCGCUCGCCGGAAGACCAAGGGUUCCUGUCCAACGUUAAUCGGGGCAGGGUGAGUCGACCCCUAAGGCGAGGCCGAAAGGCGUAGUCGAUGGGAAACAGGUUAAUAUUCCUGUACUUGGUGUUACUGCGAAGGGGGGACGGAGAAGGCUAUGUUGGCCGGGCGACGGUUGUCCCGGUUUAAGCGUGUAGGCUGGUUUUCCAGGCAAAUCCGGAAAAUCAAGGCUGAGGCGUGAUGACGAGGCACUACGGUGCUGAAGCAACAAAUGCCCUGCUUCCAGGAAAAGCCUCUAAGCAUCAGGUAACAUCAAAUCGUAC
rnacentral:rRNA from 1 species